rnacentral:rRNA from 1 species
GAAUGCUGACAUAAGUAACGAUAAAGCGGGUGAAAAGCCCGCUCGCCGGAAGACCAAGGGUUCCUGUCCAACGUUAAUCGGGGCAGGGUGAGUCGACCCCUAAGGCGAGGCCGAAAGGCGUAGUCGAUGGGAAACGGGUUAAUAUUCCCGUACUUGGUGUUACUGCGAAGGGGGGACGGAGAAGGCUAUGUUGGCCGGGCGACGGUAGUCCCGGUUUAAGCGUGUAGGUGUGUGUUCCAGGUAAAUCCGGUUCACUUUAACACUGAGGCGUGAUGACGAGGCACCACGGUGCUGAAGCAACAAAUGCCCUGCUUCCAGGAAAAGCCUCUAAGCAUCAGGUAACAUCAAAUCGUACCCCAAACCGACACAGGUGGUCAGGUAGAGAAUACCAAGGCGCUUGAGAGAACUCGGGUGAAGGAACUAGGCAAAAUGGUGCCGUAACUUCGGGAGAAGGCACGCUGACAC